ACUGGGCGUUGACCAAUCAUAUUGAGUGGUUCCCAUGAUUAAUCUGACACUCUGCUACCCAACACUGGAGACUUUCUUCAGCAAAGAUGGCUGACAAAUAUACUAGGAUUGAAGCAAAUGACCUGAGCCCUAGGACCAUGCCCCAGGACUACCUGACAUGAUGACUCCUUGCUGUCCCCAGUCCACCUGGCCGUGCUGCUGCUCCAGUUUCAACUGUUCUGCCUUAUUAUUAUUCGACCAUGCUGGUCAUUUAUGAACAUUUGAACAUCUUGGCCAUGUUCUGUUAUAAUCUCCACCCGGCACAGCCAGAAGAGGACUGGCCACCAAACUACACUGUUUGUAUUCGGCCAUAUUCCCAGUCACCUGCCAUGGUUAAAUGCGAUGGUUCUCGCUUUCAGUUUUGCACGAAUUCUGCCAUCUAUCCACAGUUUCUGGUUAGAGUAGGUUUUAAUAGUCACAGUGGGUACAACAUCUCCUUUACACUUCCUGAUAAGCUCAGUCACCGUAUCUGUGUAUUCGUCGAUGUUAUUCUUAGAGGCUACCCGGAACAUAUCCCAGUCUGCAUGAUCAAAACAAUCUAAGAAGACAGUUACAUUUACCACAAAAUACUCAAAUUAAUCAUACUCUAAAACAGGGAGCAGAAAGGAGAGCUAGGUUCUUCUUCCAUCGACUUAAGCAGAACUCCCUCUCUCAUGAUCAAUUUGUAACCUAAGAGCUUCAUUCAUUAAAGUGGGAAAUUGGCAAAGCUUUCUUCCCACUGUAAACCCAUAUAGUAGGGAUUCUGAUGUUGACUCUGACAGGGUGUGAUUCCCAGGCUGAUGGCUGACGGUUUCAGGGAUGAUCGGUGUGCUGAUUGGACCUCGGCUCUGUGAGGUGGUGUGAUUGUUGUGUAGCAAUUAUUCCUUUGCCAUUUACCAGAUGGAGCAAUAUCUAUGUAUUCUUGCGCCUAACUGUUGUUACAUUAAUUAAGGAUCUACAGGAUCGGUGUCCCUAUACCGGGAAGGUUGUUGCUAAUGUGACUAGAAUGACGUUGUAAAUAACAGCAAACUUUCCAGGACAUAAACAUGUCUUAUAUGGGCAGAAAGCUUACAUUCUUAUUAAUCUAUCGAUACUGUCCAAUUUACAGUAGCUAUUACAGUGAAAAAAUACCAUGUUAUUGUUUGAGGAGAGUGCACAACAACAAAAAACUUUUAUCACGGCAACUGGUUUGAUACAUUCAUCUCUGAAGGUAAAUAAUGUAGUUACAUUCAGUAAUCUUGCUCUGAUUUGUCUUGGUCCCUGGUCCCAGGGAUAAAAUGUAGCAUAGUUUUGUGUGAUACAAUCCAUUUUUAUAUUCAAAUGUAGGAAAUGGGUUCUACAGUUUGAACCCCUGCUGUCUCUGUAUGGCCUUUCUCUUGCAUUUCAAAGAUGAUAGAACUAUUUUUGUUGUUGUUGAGAAUACAUGUUUUUGGUUUGUAUGAUCUUUUACCAGAUCUAAUGUGUUAUAUUCUCCUACAUUAAUUUCACAUUUCCACAAACUUCAAAGUGUUUCCUUUCAAAUGGUAUCAAUAAUAUGCAUAUCCUUGCUUCAGGUCCUGAGCUACAGGCAGUUAGAUUUGGGUAUGUCAUUUAGGGGCGAAAAUUGAAAAGAAAGGGUCCGAUCCUUAAGAGGUUUUAAACACUACUAUUUUCACAUUUUUUAAAAUUUUUAUAAAGAAAUAAAAGAGGGUUUGGUUGAGAUUCAUUUGUUGGAAUUUGAAUAAAG
ensembl:lncRNA